rfam:Brachypodium distachyon strain Bd21 chromosome 3, whole genome shotgun sequence.
UUGCUACUCCCUCCGUUCCAUAAUUCUUGUCGAAAUAUUACAUGUAUCUAAACACUUUUUAGGAAUAAAUACAUUUAUAUUUGGGCAAAUUUGAGACAAAAAUUAUGGAACGGAGGGAGUAUUAU